GAUGAAUGCUGGCGGCGUGCCUAACACAUGCAAGUCGAGCGGCAGCGAGUUUUACACUGAAUUCUGGAAGCUUCUGAGUAGUACAGAAGAUUUAUUCAAGAGUUUUGUGUAAAAUGUCGGCGAGCGGCGGACGGCUGAGUAACGCGUAGGAAUUUGCCCCAAAGUGAGGAAUAACUGCCCGAAAGGGUAGCUAAUGCCGCAUAUGGUCUUCGGAUUAAAGCCUUCGGGCGCUUUGGGAGAAGCCUGCGUUGGAUUAGGUAGUUGGUAGGGUAAUGGCCUACCAAGCCGACGAUCCAUAGCUGGUCUGAGAAGAUGAUCAGCCAGACUGGAACUGAGACACGGUCCAGACUCCUACGGGAGGCAGCAGUGAGGAAUCUUCCACAAUGGGCGAAAGCCUGAUGGAGCAACGCCGCGUGAAGGAUGAAGGCCUUCGGGUUGUAAACUUCUUUUAUGAGUGAAGAAUAUGACGGUAACUCAUGAAUAAGCACCGGCUAACUACGUG
rnacentral:rRNA from 1 species